UGGUCUGUGAUGAAUAGCCCACUGCGCAAUCUGAGUUCUGUAGAACCCAAUGAUGGAUUUUGUGCUUUCGAAGGCAUCUGAGACCA
ensembl:scaRNA